rnacentral:lncRNA from 1 species
CUAUAAUGCAUUUUUAAAAUAUUAUCAGUGCAAAAUAAAGAAAGGCAAGAACUUCUGUUCAGGCGUUGCUGGGCUCUCUCCCAGAGUCUCUGGUUCAGUAAGCUGGGAGUGAGGUCUGAAAUAGAAACUUAGGAGUUCAGGUGACAAUGCCGCUGGGGGCGGGGUUGGGGUUGUGAACAGCGCGUUGAGGAAGACUGGUUUAGAAGGGUGUGAAUGUAGCUCACUCAGCAACAUACGGAUCAUCUAUGGAUGGAGAAGCACCAGGAGAUGUUUAAGUCUCCAGUUUGGAGGAUGGGUAAAUGAUGCCAUAAUUUGUGUCAAACAGUAGAAAGGAAGAACUGCAGUAUGAGGAAGGAGCAGAGAAUAUUAAGUUCUAUUGUAGACAUGCUUAUGACUUGAGAUUGGAAGUAAAUAUAGUUGUGGCGUGGUGAAACAUACUAUUGUUCUAUCUCUAUCAUAUUAUUAUUCUAUCUAUGUGAGUCUGAGGCAGAAUAAUCAAGAACCUGAGGCCAGUGUGGGCGACAUGAGGAUACCCUGACUAGAGAAACCAAGAACUGAGUUCAUUGGUAUGUAGCAGAACACUUAGCUGGGAUUCAUAAGCUGCCGAGUUAAAGUGGGAGGGAAGGGAGGAGAGAGAAGAGGAGAGGGAGAGAAAUGCAUCCUGUCUUGUAUAUGUGCAUGCACACCUGUGUUUGGAGCAAGACCCUCCCAGGAGCGAAGCUAAGUGAAGUGGAAACUUAAGCAUUCUUUGGAAAGUCGGUUGGAUGGUAUUUUGCUGGGACAAACACAUGAAGGAACAUUUCGUUAAAGUGGACACAGGUGUGAAAGGCUAAGGCAGACUCGUGAAGGAACCUUUCCCUGAAGCAGACACAGGAGAGAGAUGUUCUGCUAAGAUAAGCACGUGAAAGGACACGUGAUGAAGGAUUCUUUGCUAACAACACACAUGUAUUGGUCUGCCUUACACUGCAUAGUUGAGCUGCAUUCGAAAGGACUCCAAGGACUGGGGUUGAUUAGAUGCACAUUCUGAGGCAAGACCCAUGCUGAGGCAAAGCACGUGAAGGACAUGAUGUAGGACUCCAUGGAGUGACAGAGACUGAGCUUGGCUUGCUGGUACAACUAGCUGUGCAACGCUAGUGAGUUUCAAGUCUUCCUGACCUUUGCUGAUCUUCACUUCCCUGAGAGAGGCACAGCUGAGAACUUCUCCUGGCCUCUGGGUCCCUCUUGCUGACUGGAGCCAAGGCUGAGGCAUGGCUGUCUCUGCUUGGUCCAGUCACCACUGUUGCUAACUGGACUCUACCGAACUGGACUGCUGCUGUAUCUGUGAGGUGUUUUCGAGUGGAUUGAGCUACCACUGCCUGCUGACCUGUGAAUUGAACUGCUGAUAUCCAGACAACACAGAUGGGAGUUGCUCCAGAAAAAACUUGCUAAACAGGCCCACUCUCCCCCUCCCCUCCCCUCCCCUCCUCUGCAUUGUUUCUUAUCUACUACCUCAAAUGGGUAGUAGGCUAAGAGAGAGGUUAAAGUGUUUAAGAACCAUGAUUUGAAAUAGGAUUUGAAAAAUUAAAAUUACAGGUAAGCAUCACAAGUC